GACGAACCGUGCGAACGUUAUUCGGAAUCACUGGGCUUAAAGCGCGUGUAGGCGGGCCGGCACGUCGGUCGUUGAAAUCCCCCGGCUCAACCGGGGAAGGGGCGCCGAUACGACCGUCCUGGAGGGACGUAGGGGGACCUGGAACUUCCGGUGGAGCGGUGAAAUGCGUUGAGAUCGGAAGGAACGCCCGUGGCGAAAGCGAGGUCCUGGACGUUUUCUGACACUGAGACGCGAAAGCCAGGGGAGCGAACGGG
rnacentral:rRNA from 1 species